GGAAGGACUUCCGGUGGCUUCCAAGGCGGCUCCGUAGUGGAUGCAGCGCCGGACGCCACAACCGAAAAACAGAAUCUUGGAACUGGUUUAGUACAAUCCAGGUCGAGUUCCUUGUUUUUUAUCCGGGUGGCCGGCAGGCCCAUGUGCUGUCUUGUUUUUAACACAUCAGCUCUUGCCGGAAGCUGCUCAGAGAUAAAAUAGGAAGUCCCACCCUUCCCUUAGAGAAGGAAAACGGAGAGCCGAAGGAGUCAAUCUAAAUUCGAUGAGCGCGUCGGGCUCUAAGGCAGGCGCUGUCAGCCCGGGAGGGGUGUCUGGGAUUUCUAGAGGGUCCCAGAACGGGUUCUUCCCGGGCCGAUCCCGCCUGCUUCCUGCCCCGUCUCUCCACCCGCCUCCUGCCCUCUGUAAGGAACCCCGAGGGCGGCGCCGGAAACACGGAGAAGGCCCAGAACGGCGCGGGACCCGAGAGGCCUACGUUGGCAAACGCAGCCCGCUGCCCCUUUGCUCGCUUCCCCGGGGCCUGGAGUGGCUCCUUUCGCUUCUGGCGCUCCGAUUUCGAGAAAUGACUUUCAGCUGUGCAAGACGAGAAUGCUACUUUAGAUGAUGAGAAAAAAUCUCUCGAAUGGCUCCCAAAAUGAGGUCCUUUUUUAAGAGGCCACAGGAAGCCGCCAGCCGAACUCUGAUACCAAAGAGGAGGCCAAGAAGCGGACUGUGGCUUGGUGACCUGUUUGGUAUUGCCAAACUUUCAGCUUUUAUUAAAGCUGAAACACCUUGGCUGUUUAAAACGUUCGUCAAGGACUUUUUUAUGAACAUUAACGGCACAGCAUACGGGCUUUUUGGGGAAAAAAAAGGCAGGACUUCAGGAUGUGGUGGUUAACAGCCCGUCCGCCCCCUCGUGCAGGUCCAUUCAUGAACCUCGAGUUAGAGGCCUUUCUUCUGAAACUCAGAAUCUAGUAGGGAAGACCUGUGUAGACGAAUAAAAAUAAAUACAUCACAGCUUGUUAAGUGCUGUGACAAAGAGGCAGUGAAAUCUUGCUUGAGGUCAUCUGCCUUGCCAAAGAGUUUUGACUAUGUUGUAGGCACAGGGUUAGGGUUAGACUCUGUAAAGGGAAGUUAUGUGAUCAGAUUUCUGUUUAGGAAGAUCAUUGGCCAGGCGGGGUGGCUCACGUCUGUAAUCCCAAUACUUUGGGAGGCCGAGUCUGUGGAUUGCUUGAGGCUAGGAUUUUCAGACCAGCCUGGCCAACAUGGUGAAACCCCGUCUCUACUAAAAAUUUGAAAUUAGCCAGGCAUGGUGGUGCGAGCCUGUAAUUCCAGCUACUUGGAGGCUGAGGCGGGAGAAUAGCUUGAACCCAGUGGCGGAGGCUGCAGUGAGCCGAGAUUGCGCCACUGCACUCCAGCCUGGGCGACAGAGCGAGAUUCCAUCUCAAAAAAAACAUUCCAACGAGUGGAUAAAGAAAAUGUGAUAUAUAUGCACUAUGGAAUACUAAGCCAUAAGAAGGAAUGAAAUAAUGGCAUUUGCAGCAACCUAGAUGGAGUUGGAGACCAUUAUUCUAAGUGAAGUAACUCAAGAAUGGAAAACCAAAUAUUGUAUGUUCUCACUCGUAAGUGGGAGCUAAGCUGUGAAGAUGCAAAGGCAUAAGAAUGAUAUAGUGGACUUUGAGGACUCAAGGGGUGAAGGAUGAGACUACACAUUGGGUACAGUGUGCACUGCUUGGGUGAUGAGUGCACCAAAAUCUCAGAACUCACCACUGAAGAACUUCCCCAUGUAACCAAAAACCACCUGUUCCACAAAAACUAUCGAAAUAACAUUUUUAAAACUUUACUAUUUCUGAAUAAAAUUUACAUACAUUUCUCAGAAAAAAAAAUAUUUGGAAUUGAGGUAUCUAAUAGAGAACUGAGUUAAAUUAUUGCCACUUAAAAACACAAAGUGAUAUAGCCACUUUAUGAAUUAAUCAGUCAGCAAUGGCUAGGUUAUGCUUAGUGGUUUAUAACCAAAUCUUAGUUUAUAACAACAAAUGUGUAUUGUUAAUUCCCACUACAAAUUUAUAACGACAUUGCUGGAUGCUACACUCCAUGUCUCUUUGUGGGACCCAGGCUCAUGGGACUUCUGUUAUCUGCAUUAGAGAGAGAGAAGACAACAAAAUAUGCACUGGUUCUUGAAGCUUUGGCCCAGAAGUAAAAUAUGUCUUUUACCUGUUCACAUUGCAUUGGGCCAGGGCAAUUAUCACGGCUGCAAGUAACUUCAAAAGGAUGGGGAAGUGCGAUCUUGGCAUGUGUCAGAAGAAAUGAAAACAUUUGGUGAAGAGCAUUAAUGACUGUCUUUACAGGAAAAAAACAAUCAAAUAGACAUGAUUUCUUCUUUCAGUUUCAUCAUUUCCUACUGUGUUACCUAAACUUUCUGAGCCUCAGUUUCUUAUUACGAAAAUAAAAUAAUGAUAAAGAUGA